GCUCACUUCGGCUGUGCAUAUACUAAAAUUGAAACGAUACAGAGAAGAUUAGCAUGGCCCCUCCAUAAGGAAGACAUGCAAAUUCAUGAAGCAUUCUAUACAAAA
ensembl:snRNA U6 U6 spliceosomal RNA